ensembl:rRNA 5S_rRNA 5S ribosomal RNA
GCUGGCAGCUAGCUCUCUGCGACUCUCACAUGGUUGCCCACUGAAGCUAAGAAGAGCUGAGCCCGGUCAGUACUUGGAUGGGAGACCACAUGGGAAAGCUAGGUUGCUGUCGGAA